rnacentral:rRNA from 1 species
UGGAUCCAGACUUUGAUUCUGGCUCAGGAUGAACGCUAGCUACAGGCUUAACACAUGCAAGUCGAGGGGAAACGACAUUGAAAGCUUGCUUUCGAUGGGCGUCGACCGGCGCACGGGUGAGUAACGCGUAUCCAACCUGCCCAUCACUUGGGGAUAACCUUGCGAAAGUAAGACUAAUACCCAAUGACGUCUCUAGAAGACAUCUGAAAGAGAUUAAAGAUUUAUCGGUGAUGGAUGGGGAUGCGUCUGAUUAGCUUGUUGGCGGGGUAACGGCCCACCAAGGCUACGAUCAGUAGGGGUUCUGAGAGGAAGGUCCCCCACAUUGGAACUGAGACACGGUCCAAACUCCUACGGGAGGCAGCAGUGAGGAAUAUUGGUCAAUGGACGAGAGUCUGAACCAGCCAAGUAGCGUGCAGGAUGACGGCCCUAUGGGUUGUAAACUGCUUUUAUAAGGGAAUAAAGUGAGUCUCGUGAGACUUUUUGCAUGUACCUUAUGAAUAAGGACCGGCUAAUUCCGUGCCAGCAGCCGCGGUAAUACGGAAGGUCCGGGCGUUAUCCGGAUUUAUUGGGUUUAAAAGGAGCGUA